GUAGGUGAACCUGCGGAAGGAUCAUUAACAAGAGUUUUAUGCCCUUUUUAUGGGGUAAGACCUCCAAACCCCUAUGUUAUGUUAACUUUUGUUGCUUUGGCGGGUCGUUAAAGUUUUUAACUUUUCCAUUGGCUUCGGCUAGUGUGUUUACCCGCCAGAGGAAAUCAAAACUCUGAAUUUUAUGUUGUCUGAGUUUUUAAACCAAUUAAAAAAAAAACUUUCAACAACGGAUCUCUUGGUUCUG
rnacentral:misc_RNA from 1 species